UACGUAGGGGGCGAGCGUUGUCCGGAGUUACUGGGCGUAAAGCGCACGCAGGCGGUCUGCUAAGUUUGGAGUGACAGUUGGUGGCUUAACUGCCAAAGUGCUUCGAAAACUGACAGACUUGAGGGCUUCAGAGGGACACGGAAUUCCGGGUGGAGUGGUGAAAUGCGUAGAGAUCCGGAGGAACACCAAAGGCGAAGGCAGUGUCCUGGGUCGAUACUGACGCUGAGGUGCGAAAGCGUGGGGAGCAAACAGG
rnacentral:rRNA from 1 species